GCGGAGAGGCGGGGGCGAGGAGCCCGGGAGCCAAUGGGGGAGGGAGGGGCGGGGUUAGUUCAAGGAGCGGGGCGGGGCCGAGACUUCGAAGAGACGACGGAGCGGACGGUGUCCGGGUGUCCUGAGGGGGGAGAAGGGAGAGGAGCCGCCGCCGCCCGAGGGCGACGGGUUCCCGACGGAGAGGGGCGGGAAGAAGCGGCACGGACCCCCACGGGUAGCAGGCAGUGGGCGACCUCCUUGCCCAGUAGCACGUCGUUGACGUCGUGUGUGGCCGAUUUGCAGACAUUGUCCCUCUCCCACAUAUGAACCAGGCUAAGAGUGAGCCUUUAAAUCAACAGAGCAAAGUGUUUCAGGAAGAGAAGGUACAGACAGACUGGUUUACCCAUGAAUGUCUCACUCGAUGAUUGCAAGUUGAAGCAAUUAUUGGAUGGUCCAAACAAAAAGCUUCUCCACCGUUUCAGUGUAUGCUUUCAAGUACCUGUCAUUCAGUAUAGAGAAGUAAAAGGAGGGAAAAUGAAAGCAAUGAAGAGGAAGUACUACUCCCCCUAUUACUAGUCCCCUACUACUAGUCCCUACAAAAGGGACUGAAUAAUCACAAGCCAAUUUAUCAAUAAUGCCACAGCAACAGGAAAGCAAUCAGAAGCAGAACCUACAAGGAGGAAGCUUCUAACUAAAGGCACAGCAACCCUGAAAAAUCUCAACAGAACUUUGCCAGUUUAUAAUGCACUGCGAACAUGUUUUACAUAAGAGGCCCAAAUCAGGUCUGAAGAAACAGGAAGACAACAAUAAUGAGUGCAAGCAGUUGGCAGCAGCACUGCCUGGUUUCUCUUUAAGCAGCAAGUGAAUGAAGAACAUAACUCCAGACUUAAAAGCGUGGUGCUCAAAAACCCAAACAUACCUGGCAUAGCCAAUGAUAAGACUGCCAAAUACGGUCCCGAUGCCAGCACCAGAGCCAGCUACGCCUACGGUGGCAGCGCCAGCACC